GUCGAAGAUGUCGGAGCCGGAGCCGCCGGUUGGCUGGAAGGCGCUUUCUCUGUGGAGGCCGACCUCGGGAGGGAGGGGGCCGGGGACGGCUCCGCGGAGGGAUCUGACGCACACGGAGCCGCAGCACAGGCUCUAUUCAGCGGCGCUGGCUGGGGCUGAGAUGGAAGUUAGUUUCUAUGUAGCAGAAAUAGGAAACAAAUGAAGCAAAACUGCCCAAAGAGGGGAAAUGCCCCGAGGAUGGGUCUCACUCUCACGCGCGCGCACAGACACACACGCAGAGAGCACUCUCACGCUGGGCAAACUCGGGAUCGCGCUACCCUGCCCGAGUUGAAUGAUAGUGUUUGGUUUCUCUCUUGCCAUGUGCAUGUGUAUAAAUGCUGCGGAUUGGCAUCUGUUUAUUAGAAGCGGUGUCACUGAAUAUCAUUAGGGAACAUCUUUCUUAAGAAUAUUGACCUCCUGGUUAUUUCACAAAAGACUAGAGAAACAAUUUACACACCUGGUGUGAAAAGGAGGGAAGAAAAAGCCUUCCUUUACUUUUUCAUAAGGAAAGAAACGAAGUGCCAAGCAGUAGGCAUUUUCUGUUUGUGAAGUAUAUAUACAAUUUUGUGUUACAAAAUUUUUCCUAUUUCAAUAUUUUUUGCCCAAGUCAAGUUUGUGAAGUUUCCAGUCUCAUAGUGACUGAAGAGGACUGCCAUUGACUCAAAGCACCCUCUGGUCAGUACUGCAUAACUUCACCUCUUUGAAACAUUUAGGAUGGAAAUUCACUUCAUUUUCAGAGCCAGAUCCCAUCAUGCCCAUAAAAAUGUUCGAAAAAGAAAUCCUUGAUGAACACAUAAUGGCAAAUUUCCACGGCACAACGUAUCCUCAUUGCAGCAUUCUGUGCACGAGCUGAAGAAUCAUCAUUUAAACACUGGCUUGCAGCUUGACCCUCAUUGUGUACUUUUAGUCCAACACAUGGAGAUGCCCUGUUCACUAGAGGCUGACGGUACGGAUGAGAGCUAAUCUGAAGCAGCUGAGACCCCCGUCUGAUGGCUACACCUGGAAAGCAGAGGUUUCUGCGAUGGUCUGGCCAAUCUCCAGAUAUUAUCAAUUAUCAAAACCCAACUUUAUUUAGCAGCAAUAUCAAUUUAUUGAAUGGACUACAAGAGAUAUGAAUCAAUGACUAUGCAUACCAUUCAAAUUUUAACUACAAGGAAUUCACAUUCCUGAAAUAAAAACAAA